rnacentral:rRNA from 1 species
GAUGAACGCUAGCUACAGGCUUAACACAUGCAAGUCGAGGGGCAGCAUGACGAGUGCUUGCACUUGUUGAUGGCGACCGGCGCACGGGUGAGUAACGCGUAUCCAACCUUCCCCAUAGUAGGGAAUAGCCCGGCGAAAGUCGGAUUAAUGCCCUAUGUUCUCCUCCGAUGGCAUCAGACAAGGAGCAAAGGUUCACCGCUAUGGGAUGGGGAUGCGUCUGAUUAGGCAGCAGGCGGGGUAACGGCCCACCUGGCCGACGAUCAGUAGGGGGUUCUGAGAGGAAGGUCCCCCCACAUUGGUACUGAGACACGGACCAAACUCC